UGUUUAAUUACUUUAACAUGUCCUCUCAAUGUGCUUUUAGAUGGUUUACACAACAACAGCGAGUCCCCUGCUUUCAUCAAAAUUCACAGAGCAGAAGCCGCCUGAAACCACGUUAUUAUCAGUGCUAAAUACAACACAAACUGGAGAAGAGGAGCUCCUCUAAACUCUGUAAGAGAGACAUUCAAGUGUGUAGAAACUGUGAAGGGUAAAAGAGGGGGAGGAUCUGACUGGCCGGCAUUACUUUGGGAGAGCCUCCUUUCCCGUCGCACAAUGAUGAUGUUAUUCAUCCAUGUUGCCUCCACCACGACUAGCGUUCAGUAUGCUGCAGUGCCUUUGAUAGAUUGAGAAGAACCGCCGGCGCUCUCUGAAGAGAGACCAGCCCAGUAAAAACAUAAAGAACAGAUCUUGUAGUGUGCUGUCUUUACACUUACUGAACAAAUGCAAGCUAAAUCAUCUAUAAUCCAUGUAAAAGUGACAACACAAAACACUAUCGAAUGAAGUUGUUUUAAUAGAAAAUCAAAUAAUUUGCCCUGACAGCUCAUUCAACAUCGAUUUGUUCAUCAGUUCCUUAUUUAUUGAUAAGACUGAAAAAAGAUUGUAUUUUGGUUGUCUGCAUAUUUCGUUUUUCAUUUGCGGUAACAUAUUGUGCUACCCGUUUUCACUGGUGAAAUUCAAUGGCAUAUUGCUUUUCUUUCAUAUUUAAUCUGUUUGUGCAUGUCUGUCAGUAAAUGUGUUCUUCC